rnacentral:rRNA from 1 species
UUGAACGCUGGCGGCAUGCCUUACACAUGCAAGUCGAACGGUAGAGGGGCAACCCUUGAGAGUGGCGAACGGGUGAGUAAUGCAUCGGAACGUGCCCAGUCGUGGGGGAUAACGCAGCGAAAGCUGUGCUAAUACCGCAUGUGAUCUGUGGAUGAAAGCAGGGGACCGCAAGGCCUUGUGCGAUUGGAGCGGCCGAUGUCAGAUUAGCUAGUUGGUAGGGUAAAAGCCUACCAAGGCGACGAUCUGUAGCUG